UACGAAGGGGGCUAGCGUUGUUCGGAAUUACUGGGCGUAAAGCGCGCGCAGGCGGUCUUCCAAGUCAGUGGUGAAAGCCCGGAGCUCAACUCCGGAACUGCCAUUGAAACUGUUGGACUUGAGUACGAGAGAGGUGAGUGGAAUUCCCAGUGUAGAGGUGAAAUUCGUAGAUAUUGGGAAGAACACCGGUGGCGAAGACGGCUCACUGGCUCGUAACUGACGCUCAGGCGCGACAGCGUGGGGAUCAAACAGG
rnacentral:rRNA from 1 species